UGCUGGAGGUAUCAGAAGUGCGAAUGCUGACAUAAGUAACGAUAAAGCGGGUGAAAAGCCCGCUCGCCGGAAGACCAAGGGUUCCUGUCCAACGUUAAUCGGGGCAGGGUGAGUCGACCCCUAAGGCGAGGCCGAAAGGCGUAGUCGAUGGGAAACGGGUUAAUAUUCCCGUACUUGGUGUUACUGCGAAGGGGGGACGGAGAAGGCUAUGUUGGCCGGGCGACGGUUGUCCCGGUUUAAGCGUGUAGGUGUGUGUUCCAGGUAAAUCCGGUUCACUUUAACACUGAGGCGUGACGACGAGGCACUACGGUGCUGAAGCAACAAAUGCCCUGCUUCCAGGAAAAGCCUCUAAGCAUCAGGUAACAUCAAAUCGUACCCCAAACCGACACAGGUGGUCAGGUAGAGAAUACCAAGGCGCUUGAGAGAACUCGGGUGAAGGAACUAGGCAAAAUGGUGCCGUAACUUCGGGAGAAGGCACGCUGACACGUAGGUGAAGUGAUUUACUCAUGGAGCUGAAGUCAGUCGAAGAUACCAGCUGGCUGCAACUGUUUAUUAAAAACACAGCACUGUGCAAACACGAAAGUGGACGUAUACGGUGUGACGCCUGCCCGGUGCCGGAAGGUUAAUUGAUGGGGUCAGCGCAAGCGAAGCUCCUGAUCGAAGCCCCGGUAAACGGCGGCCGUAACUAUAACGGUCCUAAGGUAGCGAAAUUCCUUGUCGGGUAAGUUCCGACCUGCACGAAUGGCGUAAUGAUGGCCAGGCUGUCUCCACCCGAGACUCAGUGAAAUUGAACUCGCUGUGAAGAUGCAGUGUACCCGCGGCAAGACGGAAAGACCCCGUGAACCUUUACUAUAGCUUGACACUGAACAUUGAGCCUUGAUGUGUAGGAUAGGUGGGAGGCUUUGAAGUGUGGACGCCAGUCUGCAUGGAGCCGACCUUGAAAUACCACCCUUUAAUGUUUGAUGUUCUAACGUGGACCCGUAAUCCGGGUUGCGGACAGUGUCUGGUGGGUAGUUUGACUGGGGCGGUCUCCUCCUAAAGAGUAACGGAGGAGCACGAAGGUUGGCUAAUCCUGGUCGGACAUCAGGAGGUUAGUGCAAUGGCAUAAGCCAGCUUGACUGCGAGCGUGACGGCGCGAGCAGGUGCGAAAGCAGGUCAUAGUGAUCCGGUGGUUCUGAAUGGAAGGGCCAUCGCUCAACGGAUAAAAGGUACUCCGGGGAUAACAGGCUGAUACCGCCCAAGAGUUCAUAUCGACGGCGGUGUUUGGCACCUCGAUGUCGGCUCAUCACAUCCUGGGGCUGAAGUAGGUCCCAAGGGUAUGGCUGUUCGCCAUUUAAAGUGGUACGCGAGCUGGGUUUAGAACGUCGUGAGACAGUUCGGUCCCUAUCUGCCGUGGGCGCUGGAGAACUGAGGGGGGCUGCUCCUAGUACGAGAGGACCGGAGUGGACGCAUCACUGGUGUUCGGGUUGUCAUGCCAAUGGCACUGCCCGGUAGCUAAAUGCGGAAGAGAUAAGUGCUGAAAGCAUCUAAGCACGAAACUUGCCCCGAGAUGAGUUCUCCCUGAGACUUAGAGUCUCCUGAAGGAACGUUGAAGACGACGACGUUGAUAGGCCGG
rnacentral:rRNA from 1 species